AACCUUUGCAAUGUGCGCAAGCACGACAAGGUUAAUCCGAGUGUUUCCUGCUAAAGGAAUCUUUUGUUAGUCGUAAAACCACUGAUGAAUAAGGGGUGGGCAAGUUCUGGUGUCAGCCGCCGCGGUAAAACCAGCACCUCAAGUGGUCAGGAGGAUUAUUGGGCCUAAAGCAUCCGUAGCCUGCUCUAUAAGUUUCCGGUUAAAUCCAUUCGCUCAACUGAUGGGCCGCCGGAAAAACUGUAGAGCUAGGGAGUGGGAGAGGUAGACGGUACUCGGUAGGAAGGGGUAAAAUCCUUUGAUCUAUCGAUGACCACCUGUGGCGAAGGCGGUCUACCAGAACACGUUCGACGGUGAGGGAUGAAAGCUGGGGGAGCAAACCGGAUUAGAUACCCGGGUAGUCCCAGCCGUAAACGAUGCAGACUCGGUGAUGCGUUGGCUUGUGGCCAGUGCAGUGCCGCAGGGAAGCCGUUAAGUUUGCCACCUGGGAAGUACGUACGCAAGUAUGAAACUUAAAGGAAUUGGCGGGGGAGCAC
rnacentral:rRNA from 1 species